UCGGGAAUUUUGCGCAAUGGACGAAAGUCUGACGCAGCAACGCCGCGUGAGGGAUGAAGGCCUUCGGGUUGUAAACCUCUUUUCUCAGGGACGAUAAUGACGGUACCUGAGGAAUAAGCCACGGCUAACUACGUGCCAGCAGCCGCGGUAAUACGUAGGUGGCGAGCGUUGUCCGGAUUUACUGGGCGUAAAGAGCGCGCAGGCGGUCGUGCAAGUCGCGUGUGAAAGCCCCCGGCUCAACUGGGGAGGGUCACGCGAUACUGCUCGACUUGAAGGCAGGAGAGGGAAGUGGAAUUCCCGGUGUAGUGGUGAAAUGCGUAGAUAUCGGGAGGAACACCAGUGGCGAAGGCGACUUCCUGGCCUGUUCUUGACGCUGAGGCGCGAAAGCUAGGGUAGCAAACGGG
rnacentral:rRNA from 1 species